rnacentral:rRNA from 1 species
GACGAACGCUGGCGGCGUGCUUAACACAUGCAAGUCGAACGGAAAGGCCCUGCUUUUGUGGGGUGCUCGAGUGGCGAACGGGUGAGUAACACGUGAGUAACCUGCCCUUGACUUUGGGAUAACUUCAGGAAACUGGGGCUAAUACCGGAUAGGAGCUCCUGCUGCAUGGUGGGGGUUGGAAAGUUUCGGCGGUUGGGGAUGGACUCGCGGCUUAUCAGCUUGUUGGUGGGGUAGUGGCUUACCACGGCUUUGACGGGUAGCCGGCCUGAGAGGGUGACCGGCCACAUUGGGACUGAGAUACGGCCCAGACUCCUACGGGAGGCAGCAGUGGGGAAUAUUGCACAAUGGGCGGAAGCCUGAUGCAGCAACGCCGCGUGCGGGAUGACGGCCUUCGGGUUGUAAACCGCUUUCGCCUGUGACGAAGCGUGAGUGACGGUAAUGGGUAAAGAAGCACCGGCUAACUACGUG